rnacentral:rRNA from 1 species
UACAGAGGGGGCAAGCGUUAUUCGGAAUUAUUGGGCGUAAAGGGCGCGUAGGCGGCUUGGCAAGUGGAUGGUGAAAUCCCUCGGCUUAACCGAGGAACUGCCAUCCAGACUGCUUUGCUUGAGGCCGGGAGAGGUGAGUGGAAUUCCCAGUGUAGCGGUGAAAAUGCGUAGAUAUUGGGAGGAACACCAGUGGCGAAGGCGGCUCACUGGACCGGUUCUGACGCUGAGGCGCGAAAGCGUGGGUAGCAAACAGG